UUUGCUCCUGCUCCAGAGGAGGGUGCCCUUGGGCGGCGGAGUGAGGGCCCAGACGGCGACCACCUCGCCCUCGGCCACCGUCUCCUCGCCGGAGGCGAAGAAGACGCUGAGAAAGGGCACCGUCAUCAUCACCGGCGCCUCCUCCGGGCUCGGCCUCGCCACCGCCAAGGCCCUCGCAGAGACCGGCAAAUGGCACGUCAUCAUGGCCUGCCGAGACUUCCUCAAGGCCGAGAGAGCCGCCAAAUCCGUCGGCAUGAACAAGGAGAACUACUCCGUCAUCCACCUCGACCUCGCCUCCCUCGACAGCGUCCGCCAGUUCGCCGACAACUUCCGCCGCUCCGGCCGCCCCCUCGACGCCCUCGUCUGCAACGCCGCCGUCUACCUCCCCACCGCCAAGGAGCCAACUUUCACCGCCGACGGCUUCGAGCUCAGCGUGGGCACCAACCACCUCGGCCAUUUCCUCCUCGCCCGCCUCCUCCUCGACGACCUCAAGAAGUCCGAUUACCCCAGCCGCCGCCUCAUCAUCGUCGGCUCCAUCACCGGUAAGCUCUCUCCCUUCCCUCCCUCCCUUGUCCACCGGCGGCGCCGCUGAUAUUUUCCGGCGAUCUCCAGGCAACACGAACACUUUGGCCGGGAAUGUGCCGCCCAAGGCGGACCUGGGGGACCUGCGGGGGCUCGCCGGAGGGCUGAACGGGCUGAACACCUCCUCCAUGAUCAACGGCGGCGAGUUCGACGGCGCCAAGGCCUACAAGGACAGCAAGGUCUGCAACAUGCUCACCAUGCAGGAGUUCCACCGGCGAUUCCACGAGGAGACGGGGAUCACCUUCGCCUCCCUCUACCCCGGCUGCAUCGCCACCACGGGGCUCUUCAGGUCCCACAUCCCCCUCUUCAGGAUCCUCUUCCCCCCCUUCCAGAAGUACAUCACCAAGGGCUUCGUCUCCGAGGAAGAAUCCGGCAAGAGGCUCGCCCAGG
rnacentral:lncRNA from 1 species